rnacentral:rRNA from 1 species
CUUGGUCAUUUAGAGGAAGUAAAGUCGUAACAAGGUUUCACUCCUGAACAACGAGUCCUUCGUAGUACUAUGGAAGCCUUUGCAACCCCACGGGGGUCCCCGACUAUAACUGGGACAGCAAGUCGCCUCGGCGGCAACAUGAUCGAAUUGCGGGGACGUCCUAAAGCUCUCACCACUCCCCCCCAUCAGAAACGAUGGGGGCUCGUCACAGCGUGAGAGAUGUACAAUGGGCGAUCCGCAGCGAAGCCCCGUCAGCCUACCCUGUAGGGCCGGGGACCGUUCACAGACUAGGUGGUCAUGGGCACCGCGGUGCUUAAGAUAUAGUCGGCCAGCUGGGGAAACCUGACUGCUAGCGCGUUCCGUAGGUGAACCUGCGGAAGGAUCAUUACAGAGUUCCUGCCCUCACGGGUAGAAACCCCACCCUUGUGUAUAUUAUAUUGUUGCUUUAGCAGGUCGCCCCCCGGGGCGUUGGCCUCGGCUGACCGUGCCUGCUAGAGGAUCCUAAACUUUGAAAUACAGUGUCGUCUGAGUACUAUUUAAUAGUUAAAACUUUCAACAACGGAUCUCUUGGUUCUGGCAUCGAUGAAGAACGCAGCGAAAUGCGAUAAGUAAUGUGAAUUGCAGAAUUCAGUGAAUCAUCGAAUCUUUGAACGCACAUUGCGCCCCUUGGUAUUCCGGGGGGCAUGCCUGUUCGAGCGUCAUUUAGACCAACUCCCGCUCCGGCGGGGUCUUGGGCUCCGCCUCUGGGCGGGCCUUAAAACCAGUGGCGGUGCCCUAAGGCUCUACGCGUAGUAAUUCUUCUCGCGAUAGGGUCCUUGAGGUGUCUUGCCAGAAACCCCCAACUCUCUAGGGUUGACCUCGGAUCAGGUAGGGAUACCCGCUGAACUUAAGCAUAUCAAUAAGCGGAGGA